UCUCAGUUCGGAUUGGAGUCUGCAACCCGACUCCAUGAAGCUGGAUUCGCUAGUAAUCGCGCAUCAGCCACGGCGCGGUGAAUACGUUCCCGGGCCUUGUACACACCGCCCGUCAAGCCAUGGAAGCCGGGAGUGCCUGAAGUACGCGACCGCAAGGAGCGUCCUAAGGUAAAACCGGUGACUGGGGCUAAGUCGUAACAAGGUAAC
rnacentral:rRNA from 1 species